AAAAAGUAGCCGAAAAUACCUCGCGUGAUUUGUGCACAACCCCUUAGGAAUAUGACGAUACCGUAAAAUUAUACAUAAUCUAUCUUCUAAACGCUUAGAGCAUUUAAUAAUUGGAGUCUUUAAGAGCUUACCCCUCUGCCGAAAACCUUGCACAGUUGUGCAAACUUUUGUAUGGACUGACAUGGCUAUUUGUACGUUACGUAGAAAUCAUGUAGAAAUCAAUACAUUUGACGUCUCUCCUGCAAAAAUCGGCAGACUGUUUUGUACAGAAAAUGACAGCCAUGACGUCUCCAGUUACUAAAUGUUUUAAGUCUAAGCGGUUACAAAUCGGAAGAUUUUUUUCUGUGAUUUGCUCGGACGCAUUUUUUUUAUAAAAAUCAUUAAAUUAGAAAAGUCACAAAUAGAUUUGUGUCUCAGAUAUAUGAAAAUUUUCUAAACUAAGUCGCUUUCGGGCAAAUUAAAAAUAGUAUAAUUUUACGCUGUUGUGUAAUCGUUUUGUAAUGUGUCUUCUUGGGCACCAAUGUCAUGAUAAUAUAAUGAAAUGAAUGUUGAUUGCGCUGCUAAAACAAUUAAGUUUUCUGAUUUAAAUAUUAGAUUAACCCUUCGACCGCUAAAGAUGUCAACUAACGCGCGCGGCUACAGAAAUAUCUAGCCUCUAGCAGCCCAGGGACCCAUAAAAAGGUCUGUUCCAUUCAAACUAUUAAUGACUACUAACUACUAAUUUGAACUUGGUGUUGAUAAAAUCAAAAUUUCAUUUUGCUUAGCAAGGUUGGACGUACGGGCGGCUAAAGGUUUCCGUCAAGGUUCACAAUGACGUGCCGCGCACGGUGUAGCGUUUAAAGGGUUAAAAUUGACAAUCGUGACAUUUUAUGACAGAACGAUUGUCAGUUGACAAACUGUGUGGCGCAAUCAGUAUUUAAAGUGUUAUGAAAAGACUGUCAUAAUAUUAGAAUACGCGAGAUUUCAUCAUUUUAGCGUAAUUAUCGUAUAGAUUAAAUUUUAACUGUUGCGAAAAUGGCAAUUUAUCAAGAAGACAAACUAGCGUCAAUAAUUACGUGUGAUGUAGUUAAAAUUAUUAAUUACUGAUUUGACAAACAUUUUAAUGUCUAUUUAAGAGGGGGCGUAAAGCCAGGAAAUUAGAAGGGGAUAAGAGAUUUUAUAUUUAUUGGCAACGGAGCCAAGCUGUUACGUCGUCGCCCAAAUCUAAUGUUUAAUUUGUCUUUGGUUUUUAUUUGUAGUUUCUUUGUACUUAUUGUAUUUUAUUUUGUAGUUUCACAGUGCCUUGGUUUUACUGUAAUGCUGUGUUACUUAUUUGACUAAUAAAUAAAUAAAUAAAUAAUAUUUUAUAGGCGCGAAAAUGUUAAAAAUUGACAUGAUGCAAAUAUGAGCAUUUCUUUUAUUAUUUGCCAUUUUUAUAUAUUGUGACAUUGUUUACCGCUUUUGUGUUAUUCCUACUCAAAAUAACGAGCUCUUUCGAUACUAAUACUCGGAGUAAUUAACAAUGGAGCCGCCAUUAACAGGCGUUCCCCUCUGUCGAAAAUAGGCGGCCAAUGGUCAACCACAUGUCAACCAUAUGUAUGGACUGACGUUUAUCUGACAUGACGUACCUAUACAUUUGAUGUGCCCCUCCCCCGCAAAAAACGGCAGACUAUUUUGUACCGAAAAUUUUAGACAUGGCGUCUCCGUUGGUUAUAUCCUCUAAGUACUAAUAGGAUAAAAAAAUGUCCCAGGGUUUUUUCCUAUUGUGUUAUCAUUUCUCCAUAUUUGUAUGGCGGUAACAAAAAGGAAAGAUUGAAAAAUGUACGUGUAGAAAUUUUAGGACACUUUUUUUCUCCUGUAAGGAUGAAAAGGGCUCGCGAUCCCGACUAGAAAUAACACAAAAGUGGCAAAAAAGGUCUCAAUAUAUAAAAAUGGCAAAAAUUAAAAGAAACGCUUGUGUAGUCUAUUUUCCGGGUGAUUUCUUUCAUGGCAUUUGCCCUUGAUUAAAUGAAUAUAAAAAUCCAUAUAAAAACAAAGAUUUGGCAAUAAGCCCCCUCUUAAAAAGAGAUAUUAUGAUGAUCUUUUCUCUAUGACUAUAAUAAACAUAAUGAAGAGAUAAAUUAAAUGUUAAAAACGCAGAAAAACUUGUGUGCUGUUUAAAACUUUGCAUUAUACACCUCUUGGUUUCAAAAUAAUCUACACAAAGAUUGCCGAAGCCUUUAAGAUCAUAUACAGAUAUAACUAAAUGUAACCUAAAGAUAAUGAAAGUAAUGUAAUAUUCGAUCUGUCGGUAUAUAUAAUACAACACCUUUUUAAACUGUACCCGUAUGUUGAAUCGACUUACGUGAAAAUGAAACUUACAGUCGAGAUAUACGAGAAAUAACAAAUUAUUCGUGACAUCCCACGGGUAAAGGUACCUUAUGGCGGUAGGCGCUUACGCUAUUAACGCCGCUCCAAUAUUAUUGCGGCGCCAUGUGACGUAAGCGCUAGCCGCCAUAAGGUACCCUUUUCUGUGGAAAGUCACAUUUGUCUUCAGUUGCGAUGGAUUACUUCUAUAAAUUAUUUAUAAAGUUAAAUUGGAUUGUGAGUAUAUAAAAUACUACGCCCUCCGGAAUGCGCCAAGGGAUUUUAGACCGUAUCCCGACGGUGAUUAGAUAGGUUUUGUGUCGAUCUUGUUCAAAUAACGAAAUAUGUGUGAGCUUAUUGUCCGUAGAAACGGGGAAGGAUAUCGGUAUUUCUUAUUUUUUUAAAUAAAUUAUUGAUAUUCUUAAUAAAGCGAUUGGUUAAAUAUCUUAUAUUUUUUCUGCAAGUUACGAUUAUUGUUUACGAACCGGGUUUUGGUUCGAAAGUCGCACGCCUUACCUUUAGGCCACCAACGAACGCUUCAAUAAAACUUUUAACAAAUCGAUUUUAUCUACUUAUAAAACUCAUGUUAAUAUUGUGGCGUUUAAUUUUGAUUGAAACCAUUAUUCAGAUUCCGUCAAAACAAUAAUGAAGUAAACUAUACUUAGAGCCCGUUUAAGCUCACUGUGACCCGACUCGACAAGCACAGAGUGUGGUGUCGCCAUAAAUUAAAUUCGAAAAUAUGACGUUUAUAUAGCGGCGUUGUCACACUUUGUCCCAGACAACUGAGGCUCUAAGAUAGCCUAUUACCGGUCAAUAUUACCGGUAACAUGUCCCCGAGUAGAAAUAUCAACGGUGUUACUUUCGAUGUCAUAGAUGUACUGGAACUUAUUGGAUGUUGUUUAUUCGUAUCUAAACGUGCUCAUGUCCGUACUAUAAACGGGAAAGUAAAUCAUCUUCAUAUGACACCACACUAGCGUCUCUCGAGCGUCGGCGUCUAGUAUACUCUAUGGCUGCCGCUCGACGCAACGUACGCGCUACUGCGCAGUGACGCCAUUUUCCAUGGCGCUAACUUAGACGCCGACGCUAAAAAGGCGUGGUCCUUAAACUCCAGUUGCUGAAAAACAGUUUUUUUAAAACCAUUUUCUGUAAUUAGUACUUGUUAUUAGAGAUGCACCGGAUAUCCGGUUACUAUCCGGUAUCCGGCCUAUCCGGCCAUUAUUUUACUAUCCGGCCGGAUACCGGAUAGCGACCUGCUAUCCGGCCGGAUACCGGAUAGUAACAUUGCUUGAUUUCGGAGUAAAAAAUUGGAUUUAAGAAACAGACGACAGUUUUGACGGUCAUAAUCGUACUUGUUUAUUAUUUUAAAACAAUUCAUUCCACUGACUUGCACGCGCACUCAUUUCGAACCUAGAAAUGAGUCCGCGCGAACGAACGUUUACUAGGAAACAGGUCAAACCUGCAGAAUGCGCACCUGAAAAACCGAAAUGUAGGUAUAGUUCCGCCGACCGAAUAUCCGGCGGCCGGAUACCGGAUAUUCGGCCAGUGCCAAGGCCGGAUAUCCGGUAUCCGGCCAAACAACUGUCCGUUGCAUCUCUACUUGUUAUCAUUUUUCCACAUACGGAAGAUUGCGGGUUAUAUUUAACAAUAGACUAAGGAUAAGGCGUCGGGGUUCUAUUAGAAAGCUACAAACUAUACUUUUGGAUGAGAUUGGCCCAGGACCAGGAUAAGUGGCGUAUUCGAAGAGAGGCCUAAGCUCAGUAGUGGGCGAUAAAAGGCUGAUAUGAUGAUGAUGAUAAUGAUCAUCAUCAUCAUUUUUUAAACUUGUACUCGAACAAAGUGAGGUUCAUCAUAUGAAGAUGAUUUGAAUUUCUUUUGUUACUAUUUCCUAUCCAAGACAUUUUUAUGUUAUAUCAAUAUUCGAUGGAAGAUCUGAUUAUAGUGAAAUAUAUCUACUGUUUCUUCUGUCAGUUAACACAGACAGGGCAAGGAGUGUGAUUUUAUUAAAGGUAUGGAAAUUGUGACAGAAGUAAGUCAUUUUCAGGACAGUCAAGAAACUUUCAUGUGUCAAGUUAGUAUACCUAAAUUUAGUACUGUUCUCAAAAUUACUCACUUCUAUCGUUUUAUUAUUAUGACGGACUUAGGGAUUUACUAAAACAUAAUAUUAAAUUCUAAAUACGCCACUCACGAAGUGCGAUAGACAAAAAUUGUAAAUAUUUUUUUAAGAGUAAAACAAUUCUAGACGAUUUUUUAAAAUGAAUUGGUACAUUUUUGGAAAUUAAAAGAGGUUUGUGCGUGUUUGUAAUGUUCGCCCUCGUUGAAGCGGUUUACUGUACUUUGGAUUUCCCCCGCUAGGGGGCGGUGUGUCGUUUCGAAAAAAUAUACUUGUGUAAAAUAAAAAGGCCUAGAAGGUUAGUGCUACACAUUUGUGGUUGCCUUUGAGUAUAUUUCGCUAUGUUAUUGAAAAAGCGACUGAGAUAGGGAUGUUAUAGGCUUCAGUUUCGGUGUCAAAACUGAAGUCAAAAACAUAUCUAUCUCAGCUUCAGUGCCUGCGCACUGCACUCCCGUAGCUCGGCUUUCGGCCUCGCGUGCUUAGCCUUCGGCCUCACGUGCUUGGCCUAUGGGACAGUUGGAACUAGCUUUCUAGGCCUUAUUAUUUAUAUUUUUCUAAUGCAGUCCCGACCAGUCAUUGUCUCGCGUCUUAGAAACAAAUUAACGAUUUUCAACUCUAUUUCCAUGUACGGGGAAAGGUUUAAAUUUGAUAAUCCGUUUCUAAAGGCGUCCUUAUAGUGAUGCCCUCGCUUCACGCGUCAACACGCACACAAUUACAUACUUUUAUAUGGAUGAUGCUCAAUUUGAAACUAUUAGCUUUUUUACAACUAGCUUUUGACAAAUCUAAAGUUGUUUUAUAUUAUGUUGUAUGAUUACCAACAUAUAAAAUUAUUUCUCUGGCACAAAUCUAGAUAACAGAUUUUGCUUCGAUCUAUUAUAUAAUACAAUACAUAAACAACCCAUCUCAUCCGAGGUCAUUUAUCGGUCCGAAUCGCUAGACGAGGACCAUUAUACGUCGAAAAUAAAAUGCCUAUUUUACUUUUCUACACUAGGACGUAAAAUCCAUUUUAAACAACCUACACUCAUCUAUAAAAAAGUAGUUACAUGAGAUGUACUAAGUAUUUUUUUAUACUGACUUUUUGACAUAAAGUUAACGAUUUCAACAGACUUUUUGACAUAAAGGCAACAUCAUAUUGCGUUUAGAUUAUACCGUGUCCAUGUUGACUAGUGUAUGCGCGGCCGCCAGUAUUGCUCAAUGGAUCUGGGAUUAUGCUCUAAAAAGUUGUACAGACGUAGUGCAUAAUUGUUUUCCAUCGUAUUUUCUAGGAAACGUUCGUAUUUAUCAUGCUACUUCAGUCAACCUCAGUAAUUUUUGUACCGAGACUAACUGAAGUAGCAAAAUACGUUCGCCCGUUUCCGUGAAAAUACGAUGGAAAUAGCCCAAUCGGUCGGCAUCUCGUCUUAUGUUUCAAUUUUCAAUAAUUUGGGAAAUGCUGGUAUAACUCUAAUAAGAAUCUUCAGUCUUUAGACUUUAUAUUUUACUUUUAGUAGCAAUCUUAGAAAUCAUUGGGCAGUACUGAAAAGGAUCGGUCGGUAUCACUCGACGUACUCAGUUUUAAUAACUACGCGUUACGGUGUAUCCAUACGUGUUCGAUAUUUGGUUUUAAUUCCGUGUGAAUGUACCGUAAGGGCCACCCCACACUAGCGUCGGCGUCUAGUCAAUUCUAUGGUUGCUGCUCGACGCAACUACGCAGCGACGCCAUUUUCCAUAGCGCUGACUUUUUUUUUAAUAGACGUCGGCGCUUGAAAGACGCUGGUGUGUGGUAGCCCUAAGAUCUGAGUGAGUACAGGCCAAUCCUUUCACGAGGGAUAUUAUACUGUGUUCUUAUAGCAUAAGGUCGACUUUUCGACGGACAUGUACAUAAAUGUUACUGUAGUUGAUGUAUAUUAAGGCGAUGUUCGCUUAGUUUUAAGAGCUUGCGCCCGCGCGCCUUAACUGAAUGUAAGCAAUUUUUUUUUAUUACCUAUAUUUACUUUUUGUUUAAUAAAUACAUUUAUUUGACAAAAAAUUUGAUUAUUGCGUAACUGAGCAGGCUUUGGUAAAUGGACCCCUGAUAUAUAGGUAAAUAUUGUAAUUGUUUUCGUGAAUGAUAAAAUGAAAGUAUUGUCUGUACCGAUAAGAAUAAAAAUACCGCCUAAAUAUGAAACUUGAUAAAAUAUCUGAACAUUACUUUUUGUUUAUCAUCCAUGUAUUAAUGCUGGUUUUACACAUUUGUUAUUUUAUUACAGAAUAUUAAAUUUAAUUUUUCUAAUCUUUUUGAUUUAUAUUAUUGUGAUGAUCGUAAAACUAAGAUACUAUUACUGUUAAUAGUUAUUGUAUCUUCUUUUUAGGUAAUAAUGUCGAUAACUUCGUCAAGAAUUGGACAACAUUAUAAAAUUACUUUCGAUUUUUAGGAAAAUUGGCGUAAUACAAAGAUUAGAGUGCGAAUGUGUAAUCCCGCCAUUACAUAACAAGCCUAGUCUAAUGAAAUUCAUGGUCCUUAGACAUUUGACCAAUAUUUUGAGUGUGAAGAUGAAAUUGUCAAACAAAUUUGAACCUUGAGGCGUAUGAAAUAAAGUUUGCGUUGGCCAUUGAGUUAGUCUCGUAUUUAUGUUUUGGAUUGUUAUUAGUUUAGCAUAGCGCGAUGUGGGUGGUGGCGAUGGACAAAAUAGUAUUUUACUUGAAUUAUAUGAAAUGUAUGAAACUACACAAGGGAUAUAAACAUGAAAUUUAUCACAAGGUACGAAAGUUAAUUUUGACCAAGCCAAAUAUAACGCAACUAAAGAAAUAAUACAACCGAAAAAAACAGCAUAACCAACUUGAAGCUAAGAUAAUAUCCCCCCGAGUCCCAGAGGCCUUUAUAAAAGCUUAAUUCCAAAACGUAAAUUAACUUUCAUUAAAUAAGUCAAGGUACCAAAUUUAAAAAGGAAACCAAGUAAUUAUUCUGGGUCUUAGGAGGCUAGAGAUGCGGUUUUAAAAAUAAUCUCAUAUAUACAACAUUUGUAACUAAAUCAUAAGUAGGCUGAGCCCCGCAAUUCACUUCGUGGUUUGCUAUCGCGUUGCUGCGUCACUCGCAACAUGAAUUUGGCAAAUACGGCCAUGUGUUUCCUAGGGGUCUCUACUGUUUCCCAAAUAGUUUUAAGUCAUAAUGUAUUGUUUGUCCGAAUUUCCUUAAGUCAUAAUUGGUUUUUCUCAGAAACGCGUAACUUUUCAAGAUUGUCAUAAAACAAACCUAACCUAACCCAACCUAGCUACAUAAUAACCUUACAAAAAUCCUGAAAAGUUAACGGUUUCAGUUUUAUGACUCACGAUGAUAUGACAAACAAUACAUUAUGACUUAAAACUUUAUGGGAAACAAAGGGACACCGUUUCGUUGACACCACGUCCUUAAGAAUAACAGGAGGUACCAUAUUGUCGAUUAGCACGUUUUUUAAAGGCAAUUAUUUUAGGGUUUUUUUUUAUGGUAAUUGAUCUUUCUCUACUCGACUUCGCAGUACGCACAAUGGUUUAACGUGACGAUUUAAGGGUACGCAUAAUGUUCUGCAUGUUGACGAAGUAGUUUCAUAAUUAUUUAAAAAAAAUACUCAAAGUCCAUCGGCUUACCUUCCACGUCGUCGUACCGAAAUGGCUGUUAAAAUAAAUAUAAGUUCGCGCCUUUUUACGCAAUCGUUGACGAUCUACCGACUAUCGAGAGUCCGCAUCUUAGGCGAAUCAACAUAAAUUAAAUUUCAUUUUCUUACAUGAUCAGAGGGUCAACAUAAUUUCGUUAUCUGCCUCUCUAUUGCUCGAAUAAUCAUGAGCGAUUGUCGCAGGUAACGGUUUUCGAUGUCGGCAGUAAGCCUAAAAACCUGUGUAUUGACUGGUAUAAAUGAAAGAAAUAUACAAAUCUGUAACAUGUCGUAUAUUUUUGUCAUCGUGGCAGUCACUUUCAACAGGAAUGUAAGUUGUGAGUGACGCGUGACAUGACAAACUACAGUAGAGUCCGGUUAGUACGACUCCGCAUAUAACAACCAACCGCUUAUAGCGACGUAAGUAUAGGCACUUGUUUGGUUUUAGUACAAGCUACUAUGAAAGUACAACCGUUUAUAACGACUCCGCUUAUAACGACUGACUGCUUUUAACGACGGAAAUUGACAAAAAAUCCGUCCGUCAAGUCCGGUUACAACGACGAGCGACGUAGUUUUUACAAAUAAAUUGUUGGUAAGAAGCUUACUCCGUCCAGCGCACCCAACUCCCCUCCCCCCUUUUGCCUAUACGGAGCAAGAUGAAAUAGUCAUGUGACUUUUCGUAAACUUGCAAACUAAAUAAAACCAACUCCCAUUUUUCAAUUGAGCUUAAACUUCACAUACAUAAUUAUGUAAGUUGGGUAACAAUGCAAUAUUUUGGUAGGUAACUUCGAGCUGAUCUGAUGAUGGACACAGAAAGUGGCCAUAGGAACUGUGUGAUAAAACAACGUCAUCUUGAUUAGAUCCUCAAGAAUUACGACUUUUUAUUUUACGGGAUUCGAGUAAUUUGCGGCUUCUUGAAAAGCCUUCGCCUUGAAAAGUGGCUUCUUCUAACUAAACACACAAGUCUCUCCAUUUUGACAAGGUGUCGUAAUACUAAUGUAAAAAAAUAUUUUAAAAGAAAUGUUUUCUUUUUUCUUUGAUUGUCGCAUACGUAUUAAUAAAUACAAAAUGAUUUUUGAUUUAAAACAUAUAUGUAAAUUGGCAGUUCGUUUUGUACGACGUCCGGUUAGUACGACGUAAUAUCAUCGGUCCCUUGGGCGUCGUUAUAACCGGACUCUACUGUAUAUAAUUGCUAUUAUAAGUACUGUCAUACAUUCGUAGAUACAUUUUUGGAAAUAUCAAGAGUUGGGCUUUAGUGCGUUCUCCCGAUAGUCUACUUAUUAUCUAUAUGCACAUUUAGAAACAGAUCAAUUUGAUAUCAAUAUCAGUUUCUGAAUGUGCUGUUUUUGUGUCCGAGCUAUGUAUGGAUCUGUAUUUGUAGCGUGCUUUAUUACGCCAUUUUAGUUAAGCUUCUGGGGAUGUAUGUAAGGCUCGUUUUUCUGACGGUCAAUUCUGCGUUAUAUCUCUAUAGAAAUGAAUUUAAAUAGGCAAUUAUCACAUACAUAAGUGUAUUCCGUAUUGGCUGAUUUAUUUCAAGAAAACAACCAUAUAAUAAUUAAUAACUUAUUGACCAUAUGAAAACUUCGUUACAACCAUGUCAAGGAACAUAAUGGAGGAACUUCAUCAGAAUCAAGGAACCCUUUAGGACUGACCGUCAAAAAAACAGUCUAAACCUUAUGUUGUACAGUAGUUAAGUGGAUGUCGUCUAUCGUGCAACUAUACUGGCCGGAAGCGCCGCCAUAUUUGUAUUUUAAAGUUUAGUCACCGGCGGCGCCUAUAGCUCCCUAUGGUUGGACGGAUAGACUAAUAUCAUGUACCAAAUAAUAUAGAAAAUUAUAGAAAAAUAA